CGAUAACAGUAACCUACCGGAAAAGAUUGGUGCCAGUGGAAGACAUGAGACAUCGCUGAUUGGUUGACUGUGCUGUUGGACGGACCACAGUUCUUGUUCCACCCAUAUCGAGGAUGCAUUGAGGCAUCCUUCUGCGAACUUGGGUAAGCUAGGUUUCCCAUAAUGCACUCACCAGCAGCAGUCAAUGGAGAAGUUGGAGAAGUGGCUUGACAUCCACCCACCCACCCCAAGACCCCCCAAGCCUGGGCUGUGUCUAAGCAUGGACCUUUUGACUCGAUAAACACCCGCUCUCUAAAAAUUGGGAUUCCUGGCAACUGACGCUUCCUCCUGAUUGUAAUUUAUGUCGGAAGUCAUUGCUGUCCUACACUCUGCCACAUCCAAAGCCCAGGAGAGGGACUGGGUACGGGGAUUGGGCUUAUAGUAUCCUGUCUGCUGUAGAUCAUGGGCUCACCUUGCAGCAUUUCUUAAAUCUGCUCCACUUUUUCCUUUUCAUUUGUCGAGCCCUUUUUGCCAACCUGAGCUCUGCUGUUUAGGUUGACCUGUCAUUAAGCUGCAUAUGAUUUAGCCUUAACAAAAUUUGACAUCCUAUAGGCAAGGACUGAUUAGGCACUCUUAAUGUAUGCAGUUUGUGUGUGUGUGUGUGUGUGUGUGUGUGUGUGUGUGUGUGUAUGUGUGUGUGUGUGUGUGUGUGGGUGGGUGUGUGUGGGUGUGUGUGUUUGUGGGGUGGGGGUUGCAAAUAUCCAUGUCAGCCAUGGAUUGUACCUGAUGCUGAGAGCGUUUCUGCCGGGCCACAGAAUAAAGGAAAAUGACUGAUAAAUAAAAAAAUAAAAAACAAUGAACAUGAUUAAGAGGAAUCUGGAAUUUCAUCCCUUCUGUCUGAGAUAUUUGAAAUAUUAAUCCAUAAAUGUUCCUCAAGCUCAGAAGCAUCUUUCCACUGGUACACCUGAGACUGUGAUUGAAACACUUACAGCUUUUAACUUUUUGGUUAUUUAGCAUGUUGACAUUAAUCUUUCAUAAACAUGGGUUUCAUCUUGUAUUGCAGACAGGAUAUAUUAUAAUGAUUGGCUGAUUCAAACAUAAUACAUUCAUAAAGACAGUUUAAGAUUAACCUAAUGAAGGUCACAAACUCUGGACAGGUUAGCACUUUUGACAGUAACUCAGUUCUUCAUCAUGGUGCUUCACAGUAUAAUUUAAUACUUUUAAAAUGCAAAACAUCAUGAAUACAAUAAAAUAUAAAAAACAUUUUAGCUGUCCAGGCGUUUCCCAAAGUCAUUGUUUUCCUGCUCAAAAAGGUUUUGGGUUCGGGAUGCUAAAGCUGAAUAAAUUAGAAUCUAAACACUAAUAAGGCUCAUUUUGUCAGAUUAAAAGUACUCUCUGAAAAUAGCAAAUUUUAAGCAGGCAUUAAACAUACUUUUCAUUAAGCCCACUUUUAUGUAUAUAUUUUUUAUUGGUCUGAUGUAAUAUUGUAAUAUAUAUAUAUAUAUAUAUAUAUACACAGACUACUGGUCACACGUUUUAGACACUCUUUCUCGUUUAAUGUUAAUGGUAUAAUAAUAAUAGACAUAAUAAUAAUAUUAAUAGAUGACAUUUACAUAAUAAACAUUUAUUACAUUACACAUUUGUAGUAAACAAAAAUUUGUAAAAGAACAUUAAACAUGUUUUAUAUUUGUGAUUCCUCACAGUAACCCUUCUUUGCUUUGAUGACUUAAAUAUUCACCUUUAGCCUGCUCCUAAUGCACCUCUGUGAAGUUCUUUCAAGACUAUUUGGAAAACCAUUUCAGGGAUAUUCUGACAGGUCUAAUCCCAACCAAUCCCAUGUGGCAGUCAGAUUUUCUUUCAGCAGUCUUACUACAAUCAGUGACAGGCUGAGUGUUUCCGUGGAGGAGGACCACCAUGUUGGAAAGGACCAAGCACUGGUGUUUGCCCCACCAUGACCCAGCAUCCUGCUGAUCCAACACACUUCCAUGACGCCGUCUGGGAGUGUGCUUUAAAGGCCCUCAGGAAAGCUUUGGGGAAAGGGAUUCAAACAGUUACAGAAAGAAAAAAGGUUCAAAUCUUUUCAAAAAUUGGAUUUAUGUUCAACAUUUAUGUAAUAUUUGUGAUUUACUGAGCUGCUGACUGCUUUGUAUAAAUUUAACAAAGACUUUAAUCUGAUGUUAGAAUAAACAUGUGGCUCUAUUUCA